AAAGAACCAACAAAAAUAAUUUAUCCUUUUGGAUCAUAUAACAACACAAACUGUAGUAGUACAUCAUAUUUCAUAUACAAGGUAAAACACAUAUAUGAUGACGUUAAAUCUUAAAGGAAAAAAAAAAGGGUUACAACAAGGGUAUACCAAAGAUAAUUUAAAAGAUGCUAGGUCCUCGAUCUAUUUCUAAAAUAUGCCAAGACAAACUAAACUAGCAGAGUUCCAGCAGGACCUACUGUUUAUAUAAAAACUUAACAAGACCAUUAAUUUAUAAAAUAAAAGAGAAAACAAAAUAAAAGUGUGGUUUGCUUAACCAGCAAAAACAUUGGUAUAAGCCACAGGUAUAUGUAGGAUGAGAUGUUGUAAUAGUGGUCUUAGGAGACAUCGUCGUUGUUGCCCUCAGAAUUGUAGGCACUUGGUGGUGGGGUAGAAGUAGAGGAAGAAGAUGGUGAGGUGCCACCGUUUCCAAUCAUGUUUCGAAGCGAUUCCCCCACCCUAGACACCGUGGAAACCACAGAGCUCGCUAAGCCGUUAAAUAUUUCGGCUUUGAUUUGCCCUCUUUUUGGGGGGAAACUUGAUCUCUUCUUUUCAGGUGUACUUGCCAUUUUAAUUAUUUCUUAUAGAUCUCACCAAACAAUAUCGGGUGUAAAAUAAUUUUUAAGAGGAAUAUGUGAUACAAAUUUGAAGAUGUAGAAAAUAAGGAAGAUGGAAGGAAAGAGGGUGG
rnacentral:lncRNA from 1 species